rnacentral:lncRNA from 1 species
GUGGAGUCACAGAGGGAAGCUGUGAUGCCAGGAAGGGAGGCUUCACAUCUCCAACAGCUUCUGUGUCACCGUAGAUGAGCCAUCCCUGGGUUCCGGAGUCAGGAGCCUGAUACUCAGCACCAAGAACUUGGCACUGGGCAUGGCAGCUGGCACCUAACAGAUGGUCCAGAAGUGGUCAGAGGAUGAAGACCCUUGGAUUCCAGACUCACGGCUGGUCAUGGAGCUGCUUCCUGCCCUGCCCUCCUCAGUGGGGCUUGAAGCUGUGGUGUCCAGCGAAUAAGUCCUUCCCCUCCAUCGUGACCACUGGCUUCUCUCUAUCCGUCCUUGACUCACUGUCAUUAUAGGAGAAAGCAUCAGAUUUUAAGAAUUUUACCCAAUGAAACAGAAAUGAGAAGGGGACAAAAAGCAUAGAGGAUGUGAGGGACUCUUCAAAGGAUAUGUCUGCUGUGAAUGAUGAUGCUCAGCUCUGUGUUCAAGAUCAUCUAAAGCUAAAUAUGAAAUCUCCAUGAAGAUCGGCUGGUUUCUUCCCUUGUGCCUGUUGCUGGAGCCCCUCAUAAGCUGGGUUCCUGGUUCAUUUAGGGUGGUUUUUCUUUGUGGAAUAGCUGUGGUUAGCACUUUGCAGGUACACAGGUUAGCUUUUGCUCAAGAAAACUGAAAAUAAGUUCUAAAGCCUGUUAGGACUAUCUUGAUGCUGUACCAGGUCUGUUCAAAGAUAAAUAUUAAAUGAGGGCCCCAAAGGUGAUUGUGUGUAAAGGGAAGAACUGACUCUUGAUGGUAUGGGCACAGGAGAGCUGGCUCUUCCCCUCAACCGGGGAUAGCAGCCCUAGUGGCCUGGACUGACCAGCUCAGCUACCACCCAGGCCCACAGCCAGGCCUUGAGUUGGCACACCCAAACAUCUACUCCAUCCAGGACAUGCUGGAGCUGGUGAAGGGACUGGUCCUGUGGAAUGAUAUCUGCAGAAUCUCCAUGUCUUGGAGCAACCUCAGGCUCAGGAUAUCCCAGAGGAGUUUCAGUGAGGAUCCAGUGGUGAUGGUGUACCAGAAACCAGAAGUCUUGAACCAGACCAAUGACUCAUUGCAAUGAACAUUUGCUAGUAAAGCUGAUUGGACAAAAGGGUGUGCUGUGUGGGACACUGUGGCUCCCAACGCCACCAGGACCAAUGAAGAUGUAUUGGAGUGGUGAGAAAGAUGGAAGAACGAUAAGGUACUGCCCAACCGUGAAGAUGGAGACAUGAGGAUGCAUUAGUUCUCGCUCCUGACAAGAGUGAUGAUAUGGAAACUGUCCAACAGAAGCCUGUGAAGUACUUCUUGGUGUGUGCAGAGUGGCCCUGUGUGACACAUGUCAGAAAACACAAAAGGAAUAAUCAAACUGAAGCAUGGACGUGGGAGGGUGGGUGGCCUUGGGUGGCAUUUAUGACACAGGAGGGAUCUCCUG